GCCUGAGAGGAGCUGGCCGGGUGAAGUGACUCUGCAGCUCCCCCUACAGUUCAGUCAGCCCAGCCUCCACAUAAGUGUAAUGAUGCUGUGCUGCAGCUGCACAUAACAGACAGAGCCUGCCCUGCCCUGCUGCCUUGAAGUCCUCCGUCUCCGGGCUACCCACAUGUCCUUUGCGGGUGACUUCCCAUUGAUGAUGGAAUAUACUUAUGGUUUUACAGCCAAGCCAGUGGUUCCAAUGGCUCUACCCAUAUCUUCGGGAUUUGGGUGGUCUACAGGAUUAAUUAUGACCUUCCACAGCUUCUCAUGUUGUAUAUGCAUUUCUAUAGUGAAUUUUUAAAGUAGAGUUGUUCUUUGAGCAUUUCAAUUUUAUGUAAUUUAUACAUGGAAAAUAAAUUUUUACAUUCAAUACAAA